rnacentral:rRNA from 1 species
UACGUAGGUGGCAAGCGUUAUCCGGAAUUAUUGGGCGUAAAGCGCGCGCAGGUGGUUUCUUAAGUCUGAUGUGAAAGCCCACGGCUCAACCGUGGAGGGUCAUUGGAAACUGGGAGACUUGAGUGCAGAAGAGGAAAGUGGAAUUCCAUGUGUAGCGGUGAAAUGCGUAGAGAUAUGGAGGAACACCAGUGGCGAAGGCGGCUUUCUGGUCUGUAACUGACACUGAGGCGCGAAAGCGUGGGGAGCAAACAGG